rnacentral:rRNA from 1 species
AACGAACGCUGGCGGCAUGCCUAACACAUGCAAGUCGAACGAGACCUGCGGGUCUUGUUGCGCACGGGUGCGUAACGCGUGGGAACCUUCCCUUAGGUUCGGUAUACCUUCCCGAAAGGGGUGCUAUUACCGGAUAAUGUCUUCGGACCAAAGAUCUAUCGACUUUGGAUGGGCCCGCGUUAGAUUAGCUAGUUGGUAGGGUAAAAGCCUACCAACGCGACGUUCCAUAGCUGGUGUGGGAAGAUGCCCAACAGCACUGGGGCUGGGACACGGCCCAGACUCCUAGGGAAGGGAGCAGUGGGGAAUAUUGGACGAUGGGCGAAGGCCUGAUCCAGCAGUGCCGCGUGAGUGAGGAAGGCGUUAGGAUUGUAAAGCUCUUUUGCACGGGAUGAUAGUGACGGUACCGGGAGAAUAAGCUCCGGCUAACUCCGUG